GACGAACGCUGGCGGCGUGCUUAACACAUGCAAGUCGAACGGAAAGGCCCUGCUUUUGUGGGGUGCUCGAGUGGCGAACGGGUGAGUAACACGUGAGUAACCUGCCCUUGACUUUGGGAUAACUUCAGGAAACUGGGGCUAAUACCGGAUAGGAGCUCCUGCUGCAUGGUGGGGGUUGGAAAGUUUCGGCGGUUGGGGAUGGACUCGCGGCUUAUCAGCUUGUUGGUGGGGUAGUGGCCUACCAAGGCUUUGACGGUAGCCGGCCUGAGAGGGUGACCGGCCACAUUGGGACUGAGAUACGGCCCAGACUCCUACGGGAGGCAGCAGUGGGGAAUAUUGCACAAUGGGCGGAAGCCUGAUGCAGCAACGCCGCGUGCGGGAUGACGGCCUUCGGGUUGUAAACCGCUUUCGCCUGUGACGAAGCGUGAGUGACGGUAAUGGGUAAAGAAGCACCGGCUAACUACGUG
rnacentral:rRNA from 1 species